rnacentral:rRNA from 1 species
UGAGGAACAUGACCUUCGGCGGGGGAGUAGCCGGCCCAACGGCCGGGUAAUACCGUGUACGACCUUUUGGGGACAUCCCCGAUUGGUGAAAGCAGCAAUGCGCCGGAAGAGUGCCUCGCGGCCUAUCAGCUAGUUGGUGAGGUAAUGGCUCACCAAGGCGACGACGGGUAGCUGGUCUGAGAGGAUGGCCAGCCACAGUUGGGACUGAGACACGGCCCAGACCUCCGUACGGGGAGGNAG